rnacentral:rRNA from 1 species
AGGGAAAAGCUCAAAUUUAAAAUCUGGCAGUCUUUGGCUGUCCGAGUUGUAAAUUAGAGAAGCGAUAUCCGCGCUGGCCGUGCAUAAGUCUCUUGGAAAAGGGCAUCAUAGAGGGUGACAAUCCCGUCUUUGGCAUGGACUACCAGUGCUUUGUGAUGCGCUCUCGAU